rnacentral:rRNA from 1 species
UACGUAGGGUGCGAGCGUUAAUCGGAAUACUGGGCGUAAAGCGUGCGCAGGCGGUUUUGUAAGACUGUCGUGAAAUCCCCGGGCUUAACCUGGGAAUUGCGAUGGUGACUGCAAGGCUAGAGUUUGGCAGAGGGGGGGUAGAAUUCCACGUGUAGCAGUGAAAUGCGUAGAGAUGUGGAGGAACACCGAUGGCGAAGGCAGCCCCCUGGGUCAAAACUGACGCUCAUGCACGAAAGCGUGGGGAGCAAACAGG